UACGUAGGGGGCAAGCGUUGUCCGGAUUUAUUGGGCGUAAAGAGCUCGUAGGCGGUCUGUUGCGUCCGCUGUGAAAACUCGGGGCUUAACCCCGAGCCUGCAGUGGAUACGGGCAGACUAGAGGUAGGUAGGGGAGAAUGGAAUUCCCGGUGUAGCGGUGAAAUGCGCAGAUAUCGGGAAGAACACCCGUGGCGAAGGCGGCUCUCUGGGACGGUACUGACGCUGAGACGCGAAAGCGUGGGGAGCGAACAGG
rnacentral:rRNA from 1 species